rnacentral:tRNA from 1 species
GCGGGUGUGGCGGAAUUGGUCCACGCAGGAGACUCAAAAUCUCCCGGUCGCAAGACCUUGCCGGUUCGAGUCCGGCCACCCGCACCA